rnacentral:rRNA from 1 species
UCGAGAAUCAUUCACAAUGGGGGGAACCCUGAUGGUGCGACGCCGCGUGGGGGAGGAAGGUCUUCGGAUUGUAAACCCCUGUCAUGCAGGAGCAAGGCGAGAGUUGAUAGUACUGCAAGAGGAAGAGACGGCAAACUCUGUGCCAGCAGCCGCGGUAAUACAGAGGUCUCAAGCGUUGUUCGGAAUCACUGGGCGUAAAGGGUACGUAGGCGGCGGGGCAAGUUGCGCGUGAAAGGCAGGGGCUCAACCUCUGGAAUGCGCGUGAAACUACCCUGCUAGAGCGAUGGAGGGGGAACCGGAAUUCUUGGUGUAGCAGUGAAAUGCGUAGAUAUCAAGAAGAAGACUCGUGGCGAAGGCGGGUUCCUGGACAUGAGCUGACGCUGAGGUACGAAGGUCAGGG